GACGAACGCUGGCGGCGUGCCUAAUACAUGCAAGUCGAACGCAGUGGGGACGGGUGAGUAACACGUGGGUAACCUCCCCUCAGAGGGGAUACCACUUGGAAACAGGUGCUAAACCGAUACUGAUGGAUGGACGCGCGGUGCAUUAGCUCGUUGGUGAGGUAACGGCUCACCAAGGCCACGAUGCAUAGCCGACCUGAGAGGGUGAUCGGCCAAACUGGGACUGAGACAGGGCCCAGACUCCGAGGGGAGGCAGCAGUAGGGAAUCUUCGGCAAUGGACGAAAGUCUGACCGAGCAAAGCCGUGUGAGUGAAGAAGGUUUACGGAUCGUAAAACUUUGUUGUUAGAGAAGCGGUAUCUAACCAGAAAGCCACGGCUAACUCCGUGCCAGCAGCCGCGGUAAUG
rnacentral:rRNA from 1 species